GUGGGGAAUUUUGGACAAUGGGCGCAAGCCUGAUCCAGCAAUGCCGCGUGCAGGAAGAAGGCCUUCGGGUUGUAAACUGCUUUUGUACGGAACGAAACGGUCCGGGUUAAUACCCUGGGCUAAUGACGGUACCGUAAGAAUAAGCACCGGCUAACUACGUGCCAGCAGCCGCGGUAAUACGUAGGGUGCAAGCGUUAAUCGGAAUUACUGGGCGUAAAGCGUGCGCAGGCGGUUUUGUAAGACAGGCGUGAAAUCCCCGGGCUCAACCUGGGAAUUGCGAUUGUGACUGAAAGGCUGGAGUGCGGCAGAGGGGGAUGGAAUUCCGCGUGUAGCAGUGAAAUGCGUAGAUAUGCGGAGGAACACCGAUGGCGAAGGCAAUCCCCUGGGCCUGCACUGACGCUCAUGCACGAAAGCGUGGGGAGCAAACAGGAUUAGAUACCCUGGUAGUCC
rnacentral:rRNA from 1 species